AGGCCUGGUGGUGGCAAAAUGAAAUGUGGCCAAUUUUGUAACUUUAAUUAUCUAGCAUGCGUGGCUCUUUUCUAUUAGGGUUUUGAAAAAAUUAACUUCUGCCCCAAAUUAACCGCCCAUACGAUGAACUUGCUAAACGGAACUCAUCUCUCCUCAUCCCCACCAUCAGUAUUCUCUCCACAAGGUCCGAUUGGAGAACUACUCCGCUCAGCAACGAUAUUCGAUCUCUCCUAUCGCCAUAAAUACAGGAAAAGAAGAACAUUUUUAGCUGAAUGAUUAUUUGGAGGAUCUUUGCUGGCUCUGUGCUCAAAUAAUUUAUUAUGUUUCUAUGACUGGGCUGAGUGUAGAUUGAUUCAAUGGAUUGAUGUCAAUGUUAAAUGACACUGAUGCACCUUGCUUCUCACUUUGAUUGAGUACAUAAAACUUGUGAUGCGUGAAGAACUUGAACGGGCUGGUGAACUUUUGCCAUCAAUUCCAAAGGAACAUCAUAAUAGAUUGAAAAGUUGAACUUGUUUAUCAAGGAGCUUGUUAAGGAAAAGGUUGAAGAAAAAGAAAGGUUUAAUGGAAUUAUUGUGGGAUUGUUGGCUGAAAAAGAAAACGAUUAGGUGGAUAAAGAUGCAUCUCACAAGUUGAAGUUAAGAGCUACAAUUUAGAGAUAGGCUAUAUACAAUUGGUAUUGAAUGUUAAAUUUUUAUCUUGGUAUUUUUAUUAGAAUGUUUUGUAUGAUUUUGAAACAGAAAAACUAAAACAAAGAUAUUUUAUACAAUUUUUGGAUUUUGUAAUUUUA